rnacentral:rRNA from 1 species
CCUUGACUUUGGGAUAACUUCAGGAAACUGGGGCUAAUACCGGAUAGGAGCUCCUGCUGCAUGGUGGGGGUUGGAAAGUUUCGGCGGUUGGGGAUGGACUCGCGGCUUAUCAGCUUGUUGGUGGGGUAGUGGCUUACCAAGGCUUUGACGGGUAGCCGGCCUGAGAGGGUGACCGGCCACAUUGGGACUGAGAUACGGCCCAG